GCAAAAAAUGAAAGAUUAGUUCAAAAGAAGAUGAUAUAGAGAGAGAUUGAAGGCUCUUGAAUUGAUUGAUGUCUCUGAUACAAUAGGUCUAGCAUAAUACACAAACACACAUUACACCAAAUGUUCUAAUGCAAUUUGUAGAUUUUUUUUUUAACUUUUCAACUAAUUAAGUUAUUACAUGGGAACUUUAACGAAAAGCUUACAGUAUUAUUCACUUUAACGAAAAAUCUCAUUUUUACACUAAAA
rnacentral:lncRNA from 1 species